rnacentral:misc_RNA from 1 species
AAGAAUAGUUUUAUAUCUCUAACAAUUGCAAUGAUACUUCUUCCUUGAUUGCUAUGUCUUGAUAUUGAUACCUGCUUGCUAUACUGCAAACACAUUUGUUCAACAAGCUGAAUCAAGUUUCCUCUUAUUUUUGCUUUUGUUUUUGUUAUCCUUGCUUUGCUGACUCCAUUUUUGCAUGCAAAGAAAUGGGGAAUGAAGAGCAUGGAUGAAAUUGUACAGAGAGUUGGGUUUAUGUUGUAGCAAGUCAUAACUUGUUAGAAUAGGAAUGUAUAGAUU